rnacentral:lncRNA from 1 species
GGGCACCAUCCACACAUUCGCCUGCUUGCGUUUGCUGCAGCGGAGGCUGCAUGGCUGCUGGUUGUUCAUCGACUCUCCUUCCGGUUCCGGGGUGCCUGCGGCGCCCCCUCAGCCCGGCCACGUUGUCGCCAUUUGCCGUCCGUCUGUAAGGGCAGCUUCAGCGUUUGUUUUUAGGUGGUGCUACGAGGAGAGAGAGGAAUAAGGUCUUGUUUAGUUACCCAACUUGGGUACACCCAAAUUACUGUAGCACCACUGUAGCGUUUCGUUUGUAUUUGUGAAUUAUUGUCCAAAUAUUGUCUAAUUAGGCUCAAAAGAUUCGUCUCGCAAAAUACAACAAAACUGUGCAAUUAG